rnacentral:rRNA from 1 species
AUUGAACGCUGGCGGCAGGCCUAACAAAUGCAAGUCGAACGAGUGGAGGACUGGUGAGUAAUGUCUGGGAAACUGCCUGAUGGAGGGGGAUAACUAAUGGAAACGGUAGCUAAUAAAGCAUAACAUCAGGUGUGCCCAGAUGGGAUUAGCGAGUUGGUGGGGUAACGGCUCACCAAGGCGACGAUCCCUAGCUGGUCUGAGAGGAUGACCAGCCAAACUGGAACUGAGACACGGUCCAGACUCCUACGGGAGGCAGCAGUGGGGAAUAUUGCACAAUGGGCGCAAGCCUGAUGCAGCCAUGCCGCGUGUAUGAAGAAGGCCUUCGGGUUGUAAAGUACUUUCAGCGGGGAGGCGUUACCCGCAGAAGAAGCACCGGCUAACUCCGUGCCAGCCGCCGCGGUAAUUC